rnacentral:rRNA from 1 species
GUAAUGGCUCACCAAGGCGACGAUCCGUAGCUGGUCUCAGAGGAUGACCAGCCACACUGGGACUGAGACACGGCCCAGACUCCUACGGGAGGCAGCAGUGGGGAAUAUUGGACAAUGGGCGCAAGCCUGAUCCAGCCAUGCCGCGUGAGUGACGAAGGUCUUCGGAUUGUAAAGCUCUUUUGCCAGGGACGAUAAUGACGGUACCUCGAGAAUAAGCCCCGGCUAACUUCGUGCCAGCGGCCGCGGUAAUACGAAGGGGGCUAGCGUUGUUCGGAAUUACUGGGCGUAAAGCGCACGUAGGCGGAUUUGUAAGUCAGGGGUGAAAUCCCGGGGCUCAACCUCGGAACUGCCUUUGAUACUGCCAGUCUCGAGUCCGGAAGAGGUGAGUGGAAUUCCUAGUGUAGAGGUGAAAUUCGUAGAUAUUCGGAAGAACACCAGUGGCGAAGGCGGCUCACUGGNCCGGUACUGACGCUGAGGUGC